UUUUAUCCAUUUUUUAUAUACUUCUUUUACUUCUCCUUCCAUUUCUAAAAUACUGUGAAAAUAACGCAAUAGGAACUAUAUUAUUAGACGGAGGAAGUACUAAAUUAAAAAACCAUAAGGGUUUGGUUUAGUCAAGUGUUCCUUACCAAUAAAAAUAAAUAUUAAAAUAAAAAAGAGCAAACGCCUCAAAAAAGUAAAAUGAAUACCCGGAUGAAAAAACCAUUUGCCUUCCCUCCAAAUUCAGGAUUUCUUCCUGCUAUUCCUCGAUAACCCUAAUUUAGAUUUCCACGUAGAAAUAAGGAAAUUGAAGAUGAGGAAAUGAGGUCAAAUUCGUUGCUUCUUCCCUUGCAAAUUAAUCUGAGGAGAAUUUGAAGUUGUAAUCUGGGGUACAUUGAACACUGGUGUUUUAGGAGCAUUAUUAAUGGACUGAAUUAACUUCACCAAAAUGAGCCGUGGGCGAGUAUUUUGGUCAGACUUGCCCCCGGAGUUGUUGUCAAAAAUUGCUGCAUGCCUUGAGAGUCGAUCGGACACCCAGAACUUUCGGGCAGUUUGUAAGGCAUGGAAGAGAGCAAUCACUUUACAUGAUCUCACCUCAAAGAACAUAUUAUCCCCUACUCUUUAGCAACCUGCGCUGGAAGUUGGUUAGAUGAUAGCGGUCCUUUCUCACCGGUUGUAGUGGCGAGUUAUGUUUUACUCUUUUGAUCAACUCUCGAUCCUAAGCUCCCACCCUGGUUAUUUACUGCUGAAGAGUUGCACCCUGGUAAGUUGUUUGUGAGCAGAUUCCUCUCACCAAUCGCCAUUAAAUUGUUGCCCACCAGUUUCCCAAGGAAAUUGGAUUUAUCUUACAUUCAAGUAUCAGAGUUAGCUGCAUUCCAUAGGUUGAGGUUUGUUGAUGCUCCUAGUGAUAUUUUUUGGGAAGAAGAGUCUUCGAGAGUUCAAUGAUAAUAGGGUGGUUUUGUUUGUAAAUCCUAAUUGUAGUAAAACUUACCCUACGAUUGGUGAUUGUACUGCCAUUGUUUUACAUCAUAAAGGGGCCUUAUGUGCAAUAAGGCUUAAAGACAAGCGAGAGUUAAAGGUGAGAUUCCGGGAAUCCUAUCUAGGGGUGGAGAAUUUUGAUGAUAUAGUUAAUUUUAAAGGAAAGAUUUAUGCUAUUGAUCGCAGAUGCAGAGUCUUUAAGAUGGAUUACAAUACCUUAUCGUUGUUGCUCUAGAUAGAAAAGCCAAUACUUGAGUUUUCAUGUUAUAAGAGACGUCUAGCUGUAUCAAGUGAUCAUCAAGAAUUGUAUUUGAUUGAUAGAUUGUGUAGGCAUGGAACAAGAUAUGGAAUAGAUUGUACCAUUUAUAAGUUAAACAAGGACGAGACAAAAUGGGAUGAAGUUGAAGGGGUUGGUGAUGAUAAGAUACUAUUUGUAACUUUUGAAGAGAUUUUCUUUGCCUCAGUGGAGGAUUUUCAAGGAUGGAAAGGCAAUUGCAUUGUCUUCUAUAGAGGUUGUUUUACUGGAUAUAGAACCUCUCUUCCCGAUCAAGAUGAUUCACUUUUUGCUUAUAAUUUUUAUGGUGGUGAUUGUCAAUAUUUGGCAUCUUAUCAAUCUAGAGUGUUCUGGCCACCUCCAACUUGGCUAUCAUCAAAUGCGCUUAUGUCCAAAUGGUAUAUUUAACCCUAGCUUUUCACUUUUUGGUAUUGAAAGAUGUGUGCAGUAACUGCUGUAUAUAAUAUUAUAAUUCCAGUGAUUUUGCACAUAGUGACAUUUCCUUGAGUUCAAUUUAUAUGUGUAUUCUUGAAUUUACAAGCUUAGUUUUUCCAUACUAAUUCCAAUGCAAUGUUGUCCCUCCUAUUUAUAUCUUGUAAUGAACCUUAAAAAAAGCUAUUGUACUCAUAGCAUCUUCCAAAUGUCUUUUAUAUCAGCCUUGAAACUCCAUGGUUUAUCCCCGUCGAAAAAUUGAACCUAGGUAAAUUUUCUCAGGAAACUCACAUGCUACUCUAGACUCUCAGGUCAGUUAAAUGUUUUUCUAGGUUUUGGGUAUCUGCCAUAUUAUGCAACUGAGAUCAGUUGGGGUCAUUACUCUAGGUUUGGGGAUACUCUGAAACAUAUUUUGUAGAUACGAACUGGGCAAAGUGUAGUAUAGAGGAGUUUUUUUUUUUGUGAGACAUGCAUGCGUCUCUAUAUUCUCUCACUCUUUACCCAUGUAUUCAGGAUUUAGGGAUUGCAUUGCCAUUAUAUUGUUUAGUAUUGCCAUUAUAUUGUUUACUAUUGGAGAUAUGCUGGCUCAAUAAUUUGGAAAGUAGAAGACUUGGAUUAAAUUGCUCUUAAAAACUUUAUAGGUGUUGACAUUAUAAAUUAUAAGCAUCUCCUUGCCUAUAUCAAAUAUUAAUCUCCUUUGUCAUCUCUUUAGCACGGUGGGCUGACUGUACUACAUCAUAUAGCAAUUAGGAUCUACUUUGUGGUAAGACUUUGCCUUGCCGUAUUGGAUGUGGACACGAUUGAUUAUUUGGUCCAUGUUAGAAUGUUAGAUACAUUGUCAGUUGAAUUUUAGGAGCAUUUUUUAGUACAGAGAAAUUAAGAGGAUUGUCUUUCAGUAAAUGCUAUUGUAGAUUGGAUUUUGUGACGAAUUGUGCAUUUGGUGUUGAAAGAAUUUGAGGCAUGCUGGAAUUAUAUCAAUGUUCAUCUGUUCUUAGAAUAUGUGCUAUGAUUUUUGCAUGUACAAAUUAUUUUAUUUUUGGUCGAGAACCUUGCUUGGCAUGUCAUUUGUUAUUGAAAUGUGCAUAAAUAAUAUGAACUUGAAAUAUAUAGCUUUAUAAGUGUUGACGUAUCAAAGUGGGAUGUAGCAAGUAGUGGGACUGGUCAUAUAAGCAUUGCUCGAUUGCCGAAGACGGGGAUUGUAAUUUAUGUAUCUAUUGUUUCCUAUAUCCCAAACUUCUAAACUAUCAUAUUCUUAAAAUCUCCUCGCUUUUUCUCAUAUUAUCUUCACUUUACAUCAAAAAAUGUGGUCCCCCCUUUCUCUCUAUUAAUUCUCAAAUUUCACACUUUCUCCAUGUCCACACAACCUGUGCGAGAGUGAGAAGAAUGUUUGCCAUGAAUGAAUUCCAUGCAGCAGAGGAAGGGGAAAGCAAAUUUACUCACUUUGUGUCAAGGAAUCAUAUGAACUCUCAGCAGAGCAACAAAAGUGAUAACUCAACUGUCAAAUUCAAAGGACUUGAUAUAAGGUCUAACUUAGUCAAGACGUUGCAACAUAUAUGGUCUAAACAUGGAAACUUGAUAGAAAUAGCAUCAUCCGCAAUGGUGACAUGGUCUCCAGGGCAUUAGAGUCAUUGGCAACAUCAGUUCUCAUUCUGGAAGAAACCUCAGUUCGAUCCUUGAGUGAUUCUCAAGCUGAUUACCUGAACACUACAUUGUCUGACUUGCAAUGUAUGCAUUUUAAAGUAGGCUGGUUAGUUCCUUACGUGGAAAAUGCUGUACAACUACACAAAAGCAAGCCAUUGAUGGAUUCCUGUGAUGAGCUACUUAGUCGCCAAGUAAAAGUUGUAAAACAGAUAUCAAAGCUUAAUGAAGAACUAGCUGCUACUAAAAAACCUGGAGAAAGAUGUGGCCAAUGCGUUAAGCUCGAUUCCUUAUUCUGGAAAUGUAGAUAUGGACCAGCCUGUAGGAUGGGGGUUUUCUGAAAUGAAGUUUAUUGAUCUGCAGUUUUUAGCUUUGAAUGGAUGUUUAUUUAGGUAGCAUUCUGGAGUUUGGACUGUGAAAUGUGGCAAUAGUUUGCCUAAUGCGCCUUUUUAAUGUGUAAGCCAUGAAGCGAUAAGGUUUAAGAAUGAAACGAAUGUGACGUCUGCUGGUUUACUGUUUGAUAUUAAGGAAAUUUAAUUUUAAAAAUAGAUGAAUGUAUUAUGAAAUAUAUUUGUGGAUGCCCAUUAUACCCUUGUAUCAUUCCAGGACUUUCUAGAUUUUAGGGUUUAUUAUUCUCCAAGCAAACCCUAUCAAUUGUACUGUAUAUAUAGAUGUAUGCCUCCAUAAUAUGAAAUACAAGUAGAAUACACAUUUUAUUCCCUCUCAA